GUACGUAGGGGUUUCUCUGCUUAAUUCAAAAUGCCCUGAUGAAAGUCAAGGCAUUUCAGUGGGAGAAGGACAUGAAAUAUUACAAGAUAUGCUGGAAAGAAAGCUUUUCUUAUCUGAUAGAGGGAUAUCUUUCUUGCUGUAAAUAUAGGACUGGCGAUCAGAAUCAACAGAAAGCUUGAAGUCUGUGAUCCGGAGAUUGCAUCAUGGAAGGAGUUAAAGUGUUGGGACCUUUUCUUCUGCUAUAAUCUUAACACAAAAAGGAGCAUUAAAGUUCUAAAGGGCCUUUUACCUUGUUUUGAAAAAAUCAUUCUUAGAAAACUACUGUCAUUUCUAUUUUAAAAUAUCAUUUCUAGAAAGGCGAGGAAAAUAGCUAAUUGUAUUGAUCUUGGUGCUGGAAAUAUGAGUGAGCUAUGAAUGACAGCUUGAGAAAUCCUAAUCAAUAUAAAAAGAGAGCUUUAAAGAUCAUUUAAUUGAAGUAGAGUAAGUAGAAUCUUACAUGGUUUAAAUCUUGUCAACAGAAAAGUUACUGUUUUCAGCUCAGUACACAUGAUAAGACUGAGAGUCAUAAGCACCUAAUACCAUCUCAGGAAUUUAGUAGUGGGAAAGGUUAAAGCUUACUGUCUCCACAGGGUGCUGAGCUCUUGAUUCAUGUUUCUUAUAACAUCAAGUCCGGAUUAUUGUAAUACCCUGUUUGUAGGCCUCUUUGAUACAGUGGUUUGCUGUUCACGAGCUUCAACAUGCACAGAUUAUAGCAACUCGGAUUCUCAGUGGAAUUGAAGUGUAUCAACAUCCUAACAGAUUUGAUUGCCUUUUUGUCAGAUUUAACAUUACUUUUGAAACAUGUGUUACCUAUGUGCUUUUGGAGCAUUUUUCAACUUUUUUUUUUUUUAAA